GAGACAUGUCAAGGCAAGAGUAAGGGAAAGAGAAAGAGGGAAGGAUUGACAAACCAGCUGAGUCAGUGAAAAAUCGGCUCCGUGUUGCUUGUGGAUUUAAUCGUCACUGGCAACUGGAAACACAGAUGGAGCUGAUUCAAUGGAAACGUUUGGAAGAGAAUUCAGAAUAUGUCUAAAAAACAGAUAAAUGCAGGACCAAGGUUAAGGAAAAAUGCGGAAGUUGGACUAAUUGGACAACUCUUUCAGACCCAGAGUACAGUAGCACAAUGGAGUGAUCCGGAUUCGAUUCCAGCCACUGUCUGUAAGAAGUUUGUACAUCCUCCCCGUGUGACUGCGUGGGUUUCCUCUGGGUGCUCCGGUUUCCUCCCACGUUCCAAAGGUGUAUGGGUUAGGAAGCUGUUGGCAUGCUAUGUUGGUGCCGGAAGCGUAGCGACACUUGCGGGCUGCCCCCAGAACACUCUACGCAAAAAGAUGCAUUUCACUGUGUGUUUCAAUUUACAUGUGACUAAUAAAGAUAUCUUAUCUUAUGUUACUGGAGU